AUGUGCAAUUUUCGAUAGCAUUAAGCUCAGAGAUGUGACUUCCGGCUAGCUUUCAGCCUCGAAGUUCCAAAACCGUCUCUUGAAAGCUCAAAGCAUGCUUGUCGUGACCAUUUCCAUUGGAGAGAAGGGAUUUUGCUAGAGAAGACGGUGGAGGAAGAAGAAAGAGAAGCUACCCUGAUAAGAGAAAAAAUGUGGUCCGCCUCAGCAUAAUGCUACUGACAUGGCAACUUAUCCGAUGGGGUAGACGUAUUUUAGGCGCACAGUGAGCUUAGAGCAACAUUGUUACGUUUUGUAAACUUUUAGGUUACAUUAUGUCAAAAAAAACAUCCAGAUAGUCAAAGCCCCUCAAUGAACACUUUUGGGACAAAAAUAAACCUUAUUCUUUUACUUAUUUAAAA